CCUACGGGAGGCAGCAGUGAGGAAUAUUGGUCAAUGGUCGGGAGACUGAACCAGCCAAGCCGCGUGAGGGAUGAAGGUACAGAGUAUCGUAAACCUCUUUUGUCAGGGAACAAAGGCGGGGACGCGUCCCCGGAUGAGUGUACCUGAAGAAAAAGCCUCGGCUAACUCCGUGCCAGCAGCCGCGGUAAUACGGAGGAUGCGAGCGUUAUCCGGAUUUAUGGGGGUUAUAGGGUGCGAAGGCGGUCUGUUAAGUCAGCGGUCAAAGCCCGGGGCUCAACCCCGGCCCGCCGUUGAAACUGGCAGUCUCGAGUUGGAGAGAAGUAUGCGGAAUGCGCGGUGUAGCGGUGAAAUGCAUAGAUAUCGCGCAGAACUCCGAUUGCGAAGGCAGCAUGCCGGCUCCACACUGACGCUGAGGCACGAAAGCGUGGGUAUCGAACAGGAUUAGAUACCCCGGUAGUC
rnacentral:rRNA from 1 species